rnacentral:rRNA from 1 species
UCGAGAAUCUUCGGCAAUGGGCGCAAGCCUGACCGAGCGACGCCGCGUGCGGGAUGAAGGCCUUCGGGUUGUAAACCGCUGUCGUAGGGGAGGAAGGUCGCGUGAAGAACGCGGCUUGACCGAUCCUAGGAGGAAGGGCCGGCUAAUCUCGUGCCAGCAGCCGCGGUAAUACGAGAGGCCCAAACGUUAUUCGGAAUUACUGGGCUUAAAGAGUCCGUAGGCGGCGCAGAAAGUAGGGUGUGAAAGCCCUCGGCUCAACCGAGGAAUUGCGCUCUAAACUACUGUGCUUGAGGAACCUAGAGGUGAGCGGAACUGAUGGUGGAGCGGUGAAAUGCGUUGAUAUCAUCAGGAACACCGGAGGCGAAGGCGGCUCACUGGGGGUUAUCUGACGCUGAGGGACGAAAGCCAGGGGAGCGAACG